GUGAAUCAUCGAAUUUUUGAACGCAAAUUGCACUCUCCUCGGAGAGUAUGCCUGUUUGAGGGUCAGCCUAUAAAAAAUCGACAGCGUUGCUGUUUCGCGGUGGCCUUCGUCAGGAAUUGUGUCAUCUUAAAUCCUUUUUUUUUAAGCGACUUAUAAUUUUCUUUUGGUUCCUUUAACUUUUCUAAGAUCUUUUUCUUUACACGUUUAUGGUAUCGAUUUUUACUAUACUUGACCAUCAUAUCUGAUCG
rnacentral:misc_RNA from 1 species